rnacentral:rRNA from 1 species
GACGAACGCUGGCGGCGUGCCUAAUACAUGCAAGUCGAGCGGACGGAUGGGAGCUUGCUCCCAGACCGUCAGCGGCGGACGGGUGAGUAACACGUGGGCAACCUGCCUGUAAGACUGGGAUAACUCCGGGAAACCGGGGCUAAUACCGGAUAACUCUUUCCCUCACAUGAGGGAAAGCUGAAAGAUGGCAUCUCGCUAUCACUUACAGAUGGGCCCGCGGCGCAUUAGCUAGUUGGUGAGGUAACGGCUCACCAAGGCGACGAUGCGUAGCCGACCUAAGAGGGUGAUCGGCCACACUGGGACUGAGACACGGCCCAGACUCCUACGGGAGGCAGCAGUAGGGAAUCUUCCGCAAUGGACGAAAGUCUGACGGAGCAACGCCGCGUGAGUGAUGAAGGUUUUCGGAUCGUAAAACUCUGUUGUCAGGGAAGAACAAGUACCGGAGUAACUGCCGGUACCUUGACGGUACCUGACCAGAAAGCCACGGCUAACUACGUG